rnacentral:rRNA from 1 species
CCUACGGGAGGCAGCAGUGGGGAAUAUUGGACAAUGGGCGCAAGCCUGAUCCAGCCAUGCCGCGUGAGUGAUGAAGGCCUUAGGGUUGUAAAGCUCUUUUGCCUGGGAAGAUAAUGACGGUACCAGGAGAAUAAGCCCCGGCUAACUUCGUGCCAGCAGCCGCGGUAAGACGAAGGAUGCAAGCGUUAUCCGGAUUCAUUGGGUUUAAAGGGAGCGUAGGUGGACUGAUAAGUCAGUGGUGAAAUCUCUGGGCUUAACCCAGAAAUUGCCAUUGAUACUGUUGGUCUUGAGUACAGUUGCUGUGGGCGGAAUAUGACAUGUAGUGGUGAAAUACAUAGAGAUGUCAUAGAACACCGAUUGCGAAGGCAGCUCACAAAGCUGUAACUGACACUGAGGCUCGAAAGUGCGGGGAUCAAACAGGAUUAGAUACCCUGGUAGUCCACACUGUAAACGAUGAUUACUCGAUGUUGGCGAUACACAGCCAGCGUCUUAGCGAAAGCGAUAAGUAAUCCACCUGGGGAGUACGCCCGCAAGGGUGAAACUCAAAUGAAUUGACGG